rnacentral:rRNA from 1 species
ACGCUGGCGGCGUGCUUAACACAUGCAAGUCGAACGAGAAGUGGAGACGGAAACCUUCGGGCGGAAGACUUUAUUUCGAGUGGCGGACGGGUGAGUAACGCGUGGGUAACCUGCCUCAUACAGGGGGAUAACAGUUGGAAACGACUGUUAAUACCGCAUAAGACCACAGCACCGCAUGGUGCGGGGGUAAAAACUCCGGUGGUAUGAGAUGGACCCGCGUUCGAUUAGCCAGUUGGCGGGGUAACGGCCCACCAAAGCGACGAUCGAUAGCCGAUCUGAGAGGAUGACCGGCCACAUUGGGACUGAGACACGGCCCAAACUCCUACGGGAGGCAGCAGUGGGGAAUAUUGCACAAUGGGGGAAACCCUGAUGCAGCGACGCCGCGUGAGUGAAGAAGUAUUUCGGUAUGUAAAGCUCUAUCAGCAGGGAAGAAAAUGACGGUACCUGAGUAAGAAGCCCCGGCUAACUACGUGCCAGCAGCCGCGGUGAUACGUAGGGGGCAAGCGUUAUCCGGAUUUACUGGGUGUAAAGGGAGCGCAGACGGCUCUGCAAGUCUGAAGUGAAAGCCCGCGGCUUAACCGCGGGACUGCUUUGGAAACUGCAAGGCUUGAGUAUCGGAGGGGCAGGCGGAAUUCCUAGUGUAGCGGUGAAAUGCGUAGAUAUUAGGAAGAACACCGGUGGCGAAGGCGGCCUGCUGGACGAAAACUGACGUUGAGGCUCGAAGGCGUGGGGAACAAACAGGAUUAGAUACCCUGGUAGUCCACGCGGUAAACGAUGAAUACUAGGUGUUGGUGCCCGAAGGGCAUCGGUGCCGUCGCAAACGCAAUAAGUAUUCCACCUGGGGAGUACGUUCGCAAGAAUGAAACUCAAAGGAAUUGACGGGGACCCGCACAAGCGGUGGAGCAUGUGGUUGAA